rnacentral:lncRNA from 1 species
AGUGAUUGGGCCUAAGGCCCAACCGAUCCCCAAACUGAAGCAAAAGAAGGAGAGAUCCACUUGUUGGAUCCACACACACGCGCACCUGCUCAAUUACCUCACUCUCUUGUUCAAAAGUUCUGAUGAACACCUAAUCGACUCCGCCACUUCGGAGCUCAUUUCUGGCGGCGGCGGAGCUCCCUACCACCUUAAAUUUGCAUCAUUCCCAUCGUCUCAAACUAUCCUUUCCAAAUCCACAACCAAUUUCUCCUAAUUCCUCCUUAAACACACAAACAGAAGCAAGCUUCUUAAGAACCCUAGGUGAUAAUUCAUAAGUUAAACUCUCCCAAAGAGGAAUCCAAGCCUCUAAUCUUAGAGCUUUGGUUCCUCCGCUCAACUCCUACACAGCUGUAACAAAAUCAGAGCAAAACAAAGAAGAUGGAAUUACCUUCGAAGGCGCUGCUUUAACAGAGUUGAUGAACGAGAACUGAAGAACAUGAAUCUGAAGGCUCCAAAUCAUGAAAUGAGUUCUCUCUUCCUUGACACGCUUACUCUUCUCCACUCUUCUUUUUCAUCUUUUGCAGUGAGUUGUUAUGAUCUUCUUAUUGUUGCUCGUGUCAGAGAUGUAGGGAUAUUGAUAUGAUUCAGAAGCUUGGGAUGAAUUCAGAGAGGUAUGAGGUAGAGAGAAUCAAGAGAGAAAAUGGAUUCAGAGAGUGUUGUUGUGGGAGGUUUUGAGAGGUUCUGAUUCGAUGAAUUUAGGGAAUGGAUCGUCCAGGUGGAAAUGGUGAUGUGAAGAUGAAUUUAUAGAGUUAAGGAUUGAGGUUUGUAAUGAUAGUUAGUUAUGGAUUCUAUUAUGAUGCAUUGGUAGGCUUUGAAAUUAGUUAUCAGUAAGUGAAAUUCAGUUAUGUCGAGUUGUGUUAUGUUGUAAAUGAACUUAGUUAAAGUUGGUUUCUCAUGAUUUAUCCUGCUAUUUUCAGUUAAAGGUCUGUUAAGUUAGUUUGGUUUCCUUUAGGAUGAAUAUUAUGGACUAUCUUGAAUUCAAGCUGAAUUCUGUUAUGAUUGUUAAUGUUUGUUAAGUUUCUGUUUAGAAUUGUUAAGAUUUGUUAAUUGUGUUAGAAAACUCUAUUUAUGUUAAUGUUAGAUGCUUGCAAUGAAUAUGAGUGAUGGUACAUUGUUGGCUUGUUAUAAAUUGAAAUGCCUUGUUAUUCCAAUGCUGAAUGUAUGAUAUGUAAGUAAUAGAAAUUCAACAUUGUGAAGUUAGGAAUGUAUGUGUAUACUAGUUGCUACUAUGCUGCUUGGUUUGGUUGGAAUGGAUCAUGUAUGUUACAUUGUAAUGUGGUUGUAUGGUUAUUGUUGUUUUUGCAGGAUGGUACACACACGAGGAUUGAGCAAAGUAACAUGGUCAUGGCCAACAUCAAUAAUGGAAGUUUUUGAGGACUCAUGCAAAAAAUGGGAUAGCUUGUAGAAAAAGUAAAGCAGGAAUUAAGGUUAGGAUAAGUAGAUUUAGUCGGUUGACUUUGGUAAACUGGUUGACCAAAAGUCAACUUAGGUUAAAAAUGUAUUUUUUUUUGUAUGAAAAUGAAUUUUUCUAAGGAUUUUGUGAUGUAAUGAUGGAUUGUUUCAAAUUGAAGUAAUUAAUGAACAAACAUGAUUCUUGUAUUGAAAUUCAAACAAAGUUUCUUACUAAACUUAAUUUUGAACAUGCAUUAUGAACCAUGCAUCAUGUAAUGGGUGAAGCUACAUUACUAAACCAAGUGAUCAUGAAUGUGCAAUACAAUUAUGAAUUAUGAAUGCCAAAAUGGACUAAAGUUAAAUGGAUGCAAAUGAACCAACAAAAUAAUGAAUCCAUAAUAAGAAUCAAUGUAUCACACACAAUGGAUCAUGAACCAAUUUGCAUAGACCAAAAUCAAACAAUCAAGUAAAGAGCUAUAAGCAGAUGAUUGAUGACAAAUGCAAGCUAAAAUGACCAAAUGCACUCUCUAUGAAGCAUGACUUCAAUCACCAAGUCAAUGCUUAAAAUACAUGAGCACAACUAUGGUUUGAUGCACAAGCAAUAGUCAAUAGGUAAACCUCAAGGAAUGACCUCCCAAGCUAGGGUUUCAAGCUUAAACUAAGCUCAGAUGAGUCACCAAUGAUGAGCACCCACAAUCAGGGUUCCAAUUUAAGUCAAAGCAAAAGGACAAAACACAAGGUCAAUAGACGGCUGAACAAGCAACAAUGGAUCAAGGAACUAGGGUUAUGGCCCAAAAAUGACCAGAUGAACGACAAUGCUUCAAAUCAAUGGCCCGCAAUCAAAUUAGAGUUUAGGGAUGAGUGAAGUGCCUUGGUGAAAUCUUACAAAAUCAAUGAGUGCUCAAAGCUGAGAUUUAGGGUUUAUGCAUGAUUAAGCACAUCUCAAUAUGAUAUCAAGAAAAAACCUAGUUCUUCCUCAGAUAUAGUCAUCAUGCCUUGAGCUCAUGCUAAUGCAAACGGGGAAUGCAUAGUGAAUGAGUGAUAUGAAUGCUAUGGUAAUAAUGAGGGUGUGACAAGUACAAGACCAUAAUUAACGAGUAUGUCCAAUACAAGAAAAAUAGACUCCAUCGACGUGAUAUUGCCACAUGAAAACCAUGUCGCUUAAAAAGGACAUUCCCACGUGAUUUCCACGUUACUAAACAUUUAAAACUUAAAAAAUGAAAAUAAGGUUUUUCCACGUGAAAACCACGUCGCUAAAAAAGGACGUUGCCCCAUGAUUUUCACGUGAAAAACAUUUCGCUAAAUUAUUUUGAAAAAAGAAAACAAAAGAAAGGGGUGGCUACUCUCUCUCUCUCUCUCUCUCUCUCUCUCUCUCUCUCUCAUCUCCUCUCUCUCUCUCUCUCUCUCUCUCUCUCUCUCUCUCUCUCUCUCUCUCUCUCUCUCUCUCUCUCUCUCUCUCUCUCUCUCCUCUCUCUCUCUCUCUCUCUCUCUCUCUCUCUCUCUCUCUCUCUCUCUCUCGUCUCUCUGAAAAAAGAAAGCAAACCUCUCUUCUCUCUUUAUCACCUUCCAUCAUCUUCUUCCUCCUCUUUCUCUGUCACGCGAAAACCUUUCAGUCUCUUCUUCAUCAAAAGAACGAAACCAUUCUCUCCCUCCUUCAAAACCGAACAACAACAACAAACAUAUUUUCCUCUUCUCUUUCAAAUCCAUUGCUCUCUUUUCUCUCUCAACAACAAGAAACAACAACGAAAAAAUCAGUUUCAUUCAAGUUAGGUCUUUGAGGUUCCUUAAAAUCCCUUUGUGUUAAAGGCUUCUAUUUCAGUUUCCACUGCGGAGAAGCCGUUGACGGUGUCAAUGAUUGUGUGGCUAGUACCUGCAGGUGGCGGUGGUUAAUGGAAGAGAGGGUGACCAUAUGGUGGUGGUUAUUUUUAGAAACGUGAUGGAAUGUGGUGGUGGUAGUUUCUGCACCUAUCCCUAUGUACAUAUUAGUGACGUGAUUUUCACGUGAGAAAUUUCCGCCGUGUUUUUCACGUCGCAAAAAAUUGUAAUUUGUGUUUCUGUGAUGUGUUUACUCACUUUGCUAAUUUGAGUGUAGCGACAUGACAUUUUGAAUUGUGACAUGAUUUUUACGUGACAAAUUAUAAUUUCUUUUUUUUAGUUGUCUACACACAUGUUGCCUUCGGAAUAUAUACGUGAGUGAGAGCUUAAAUCAACUGAAAAUUCUUCCGGUUAGCCUAUCUAUUGCGAAACUCCUAUGAUUGUGGAAUCAUAAUACAUAUAUGAUUGGGAAGUUGGACUUCAAAUAUCCCAUAAACAACAUUUGUCAUGAUUUUAAUGAAGGGCAAAAAAUAUACUUUCGAGACCAUUAACCUUUCUUAUAUAUUAUAGAUAUAAAAAGAUUAAGCAAAUGAGUUACUAGUUCUUGUUGACAUGCAAUAUUUCCCUCAUUUGUCACUUCUUAUCAUCACAUAUUCAUUUUGAAAAUAUAAACCGCUACUAUAAGUUCAAAGUAGAAAUACAAUUAAAUAGGACUUUAUGUAGAACAGAUUAGUUGCUGUAAUGGUACAGAAUUAUUAAAUGAGCUAUAUACUUCAUGCACAUGCACACAGUACAUAUACUGCAUUUACCAAAGGAAAAAAGUUAUGUCAUAUUAACAUAAGUCAACACUAUUACCCUAUAUAUAAUGUUGAUGGAACCUUCAAAAAUCCAUCCAGUUUUGCAGCAUUUCUUUUUUCUUGCUAUCAUAACCGUUAUUUUCUUCAUCCGUGUGAUUUAAAUAUGAUACAAGACAGUUUCUUAAAAGGGACCCCAUACACCUUUAUAUCUCACCAAGCAAAAUUCAUAAAAAUAAUUCAUAAAAAAAAUUAUAGCUAGUUUUCACUAUUCAAAAACCAAUAAUAUCUAGUAAUUUUCUCUAAUCUCAUAGAUUUUUAAAUUUAAAAAAUAUCUAAAUUGUGAGCUAGUCUUAUAAAUUUCAAACCGUCGCUAUGGCUCGCGACACAAAGUUUUGCAACAGUUGAUAAAUCGUCGCAAUCCUGAAUUAGCGCUAGGGCUCGAAUAUUUAAAUAACUGUUACUCAAUUAUAUUAUAAAUACAUGGACAAGGACACCCUUUAAAUCAUUUAUAUACACUUCACUCUCUCUUGCUUUUUUUCAACAUUGCUUCUUGUUUUCACAUUCCAUAGUCCUAUUUUCUCUUAACUACUUUCAUCAUUCGCUGAUUUAAUUUUCUUUGCAUGGAGGGAUUUCACUCUGAUCAGUACUGGUUUUGGAUGAAGAGAAGGCAAAUUCAAGCACAAACCGAAUCUUGGGAAGAAAAAGCGUUUGCAGAAGAUGCAGCUAGGAGUAUCCUUAAUGGAAGCAUAUGGCCACCAAGAUUCUAUUCAUGUAACUUUUGUAAAAGAGAGUUUAGGUCUGCACAAGCCCUUGGUGGUCACAUGAACAUUCAUAGGAGAGAUAGAGCUAGACUCAAACAAAAUCUUAGCCCUCAAAGCAACAAUGAUUUGAUCAACUCAUCAUCACUAGGUAAUCAUUGUUUUCCUGCAAAAAGAAGAUCUAUUUCACCUUCUAGAAUGAUCACAACCUCAGCUAUAUCAUCACCUUAUUCUUCUUCAAUUAUUUGGGGACAGAAGAAGAUAGGGUGUAAUAAUGCAAGAGAAGACAAGUUUAAGGAUUGUGUUGAAACAAGUUUGUCUUUGGGAGUGUUUGGACCAAAAUCAUCAACUGUUCUUCCAUGUGAGGAAAAAGGUAUCAUUUGUAAAAGAUUGAAGACUGAUAACACUUCUUAUAUACCUUCUCUUUUCAUCAAACCAUGUUCAAAGGAUCAUCAAAGGUUCUUGACUUUUCAACAACCUUCAGAAAAUGUACUUGGAGUUGGAGUUAACCAUGGAAUGGAAGAUUUAGAUCUUGAACUUAGGCUAGGGAAACAACAAAAAGUUAUUAACUAGUUUAUUCUAUUUGUACACAAGUUGUGAUGAUUUGUGAAGUUGUAGGAGUUUCUUCUCCAUGUUCCUCUUUUUUUUUAGUCAUUUUUAAUUAGGAUGGUUGAAAAAUGGCAAGAGAACUUUUAUUUGCCUAAGUAAACAUUGAAUAUAAUGAAAAUCUUCAAACUCUAUAUGAAUAUUAAUUUACAUUCAUUUUUUCUUCAUUAUGAUAUGGAAUAUUGUUUAUGAGUUCUCAUUUUUCUGUUUGAGAUAUCAUCAGAAAAUGCAGUUCAAUGAAUGAAAAAUGACAAAGGAAAAUACAAUUUACUAAACUACUUUAAUAAAUAUUUAAUUAGGGCUUCUAUGAAAAUUAUAAUAUCACUCAAAAUUAAUAUAAACUAGUUUUUUUUUCAUAACCUAUAUAUAUAUAUAUAUAAUGCACAAGUUGUUCAGAACAGAUAAGAAUAAACAAUACAUAUAUUGGAAUUUUCCUGCGGAAUAUAUAUGUAGCCGUCUAACAAUACAUAUAUUGCAGUAGAAGCCAAACAUAAAAAUGAAAGCAACAUUAGAAGAAUAAAAAAUGACUUGUUAGAGGAAAAUGAAGCAUCUGAGAUAGAGUUUUCUGUGAAGGGUGAGGCAAAGAAAGAUGAACAAGUGGAAUGGCUAAAGAAUAAACUAAACUUGGAUUUUUCAUAUUUGAAAAAAAAGAAACAUGCAAGUUGAAAUAUAUUAUUAUAAUAUAUAUUUUAGUUUGAGAGAUGCAUGUAGUAAACUGAAAGUUUAGAUAGAGACCGGAGAGAGGGAAUGUAAAGUUAAAACUGGAAGGUAUAUUGAAGUGAUGAAAGAGACUGACAGUAUGUGACUGACCAUAUGAAAUCACUUCAGCUACAUGUAUAUUCCAGCUAACUAACAGUACAAGUUCCCUAUAUAUAACCUGGAUAAAAUAAUCAAUAACUAUAUUCCUUGAUUAUAGUAACUAAUAACUUAAUGUUAUAUUAAUUAUGUAUGAUCAUUAUCAAUUUAAGAGCAUCUAUGUUGUGCUUAUGGUGGCAAACAAGGAACAAGGAACUUGAUAAUGGUAAUGUAGUAAAAAAAAAAUUAUCUCUUUAACAUCUUGAAGAUGGUUUUGGGAUUUUCUUUCCAAAAGUCUAUAUGUAUUAAGAAUGGUUUGUUGUUCCAUUAUAGGUGUCUUUUAAGACCUAAUUAAGGUGUUUUUGAUUUUUCGGUUCCUUUGGGUCUCCUUUUGUAUUGGGGUUUGAAUAUCACUUUUAUUCAAAAUUGAAUAUUUUUUUUAUGUUCAACAAUUAUCAUCUCUAUUUUUUUUUAUCCUUGUGGAGUAAUAAAUACUUUUUUUAUAGACAAGAGAUUGCAUUAAUAUUGAAUACUAGAGGUACUCAACCCAAAUACAAGAUGAAUGAAAAGAGGACAAAACCAACAAAGAAAAAAGCUAAGGAAAAUAAAGUAGGGGAUCACGUUGACGAUCCUCAAAAUCAAAUCCUAUAGGCCCAUAGAUUUAGCAUAAAACCAAUCUCAAGCAAGACUCUUAGCUAACACAAUAAUAUCAUAUUCUCUUUUAUGGUCCAUUUGAAAAGAGUUUUGUUUCUAAUCAACCAAAUGGACCGAGCAACAACCAACACUUGGAUGAGAUGACGGGGGUCUCUUCCAGCUUAACCAAGGAUCAUGCAUUCAAAUUCACUCCUGGGUACACAAUAAUGUUAAAUCUCUUGUGGGAGGGAUUUGCUGUCUAUUGUGGUCCUACACAACUCAAGGGAUUAGUCUUUGCAUUUGCAUGCAGAGGAUACCGGGUUUAUACCACACAAAAAAUGGAUCGAGAAUUAGACAACCAAAGAAAGAGGCACAAAAUUUUCUUAAUCUUCCCUAUUAAGAGGUUAUCAAAAGCUAUCAAGUGAGACACAAGAUCCACAUGGAUGGGCAGUUGGCCAAUACCAAUCAAUUCCAACAUGAUGUACCAAACACGAGCUGCAAGUGGGAAAAACAAAAACAAAUGCUCAAGAGAUUCCACUUAGUCAAGGCAUAGAGGACAAACAAGAUUAUGAGCGCCAAAGAGGAUGCCUCUUUUAGCCAAUUCCUCUCUAGUUGGAAGCCUUCUAAAAAGAAGUCUUCAGGCAAAGAAUUGAAUAUUGCUUGGGACUCAAGAAAUCCAAAUUAAAGCUAGAGCAAAGGACAAAUUUGCAUCCAAAAAAAAACAUGUAGAAGAAGAUGGAGUUAUAUAAGCUGAUUUUACCCAAAAAAAACUGGAUUAGUCACUCCACUAAAUAAAUGAGUAUGCAGAGAGAGGGUCGAGGGAGACAUUUAAGGCGAUAGUUUGGAGGUCUUACAACUGUAUCAUGGCUUUUGCAGAGAGAUGGGUAAUAUCAAUCCCAAGAUUCCAAUUCCAACUGCCAAAUAACCACUCUUUUGCAUAACCAACAAACAACUUAUGAUCACAAAAUAAAGAGUUGGGAAUAAAUCUUUGAGGGGUUGGGAUUCGAGCCAUUUGAACUUCCAAAAAUCAAUUUUUGAACUUGAACCAAGUUUGCAAGAGAUGCUGCUUGAAACCCAACAAUAUUCAAGCCCCUAAGAAGCCACAAUUUCCCUCAAAUCUCGUUACCAUAGGGAUGCAUUUCUACUGAUGAAAGGUCUAGACUGGUCAAGUAAAUGGCCUUUUAUAUCUCCAUAUUUGAAUGAUAGUAGAUGGAACUAAGGAUAACCCUGCUUGUCAAUAAUUUUCUAGGCCCACUUGCAAAGAAGAUUCGGGUUGAAAGAUUCACAAUGCUUAACACCCAAGCCUCCGCCAGCUUUAGAUUUGCACGCAGACGACCAAGAAACCUAAUUGAUCCUUCUCUUUCUUUAUUCCCCUUUCCAGGGAAAAGCUCUCUAAAUCUUAGUUAUUAACCAUGGGUGCUUUGUAGAAGGAGAAAAAUAUAGAGGAAUGGAAUUCAAAACAACAUUUAAAAGCACGACACACCCUUCAAAAGAGAUGAACUUACUUUUCCAGCUUGAAAGACAACAAUGAAGCUUUUCAAGAAUCAGAAUUCAAGAACUGCGCCUUCUAGAAUUGAUGCCUAUAAGAAUUCCUAGGAAAUUGAAAUGAAGAUGAGCAAUAGAGCAUGAUAAAAAAUUUGAAGUUGCCUUCAAGAAACAUGUAUCAAUGUUGAAUCCUAAACCAUUAAGCUAUUUCCGCCAGCUAUGCUUGUGGCAAAGCACAACUGAGAAAUUAACUUAUCACUUGAUACAGACGAGUUCUAUUUUUUCGCCGGACCACACUCUACAGCCUCGUGGAUGGAUUAAAGAAGGUAAGUUACAUAAUAGGGCAGUGAAGAGAAUUAGACAACAAGAUUUUCUCAUCCCCCUAACCUUUCUAUUAUUAUUAUAAUGCUAGCGCUACCGUAUCUCUAAUUUAAAGGGGCGUAAGCACUUCACUUGCUAUGGGAAGGGAUUCAUUCACUUGCAUUCCUGCUAGCACUACAAAAAGCUCUAGUUUUCACGCCCUUACUAGUGUUGUGCAUCCUUUCCUCGGGUUCGUAGAGUCGGGUUUCCCAUUUACCCCCUACAGAUGACCCCACUAGACCUGGUAGGCGGCCACAAGUUAUAACACAUUGUUCACACAACAAAUCCACUUUGAAGUUGACUUCGUUACUACAAAUAAUACAUUUUAUGACAAUGAUUUUACCUCACAUAACAAAAACCCGAGGUAUAACACUUGUACGCGCCAUGUUUUAUUUUUCUUUCUAACAAUAACAAUCUAUUAUGUCGAUUUUAUAAUAAACCGAGGGGUAAACUAGGUCAGGAUACAUGCUUCAAAUCCCACCAGCGGCAGAUUUUGUUUUUAUUUAUUUAAAAAUGGGGCGUUCUUUUUAUUUUAGUUUUUAUUUAAUUAUUAAAUAAUAUACUUCGUCGGUUUCCUUAAUAACCGAUGGGUAUGCUACCCAGAUUUAUCUAUAAAAGGAUUUGUUCACUAAGUUUUUCCUUAAACCUAAAUCAUAUAUACUGCCUCUCCAUACUUGUAAUCAUCAUUCUUUUGGAUGGAUAUCCAGACAUAAAAAUUAUUUGUUUAUGUGUUGUUGUUCUUCUAACACCCACGUUUUACAAAUCAUUUUUCUGCUUUUGCUAUCCAUCUCACAUAAUGUUGUUAUUUUUGUUGUUGUGGUUGUUAUUGUUGUUGUUGUUUUGGUUGUUAUCGUUGUUGUUGUUGUUCUACCUCUUGUCAAUGUUUAAUUUGUACAAGGAUACAUUGUUAUAUUCUGGAUAUAUUUCAUGUUUUAUUAAUAUACAAAUUUACUUAUAUUACCUCGGUUUACUUAGUAAUAGAGGGGAUACAUCCUAAUUUUAGGUUAUUUUUUAUUUAAAAAGAAAUAAUAUUAGACCUCGGCUUUUUAUAAAACUGAGGGGAAAAAUAAUUAGGUAUUGUCUCAAUAUAUCUUUGUUAUCCAUUUAUAAAGUAACAUCCCUCAAGAUAUUGCCAACACAUCAAUUCACAAGAAACCCCCUACGUCCAACCAGAACGCGAAGACCACCCAUGUAUAUAUAGGGCGCUACGUUUUGAAACCUAAACGUUAUUGUGAAACCCUCUAUGUUUAAUCAGUGCGCCAUGAGAUUUUACAAAGUAAAAGUAUCACUGCCAUAGAUUGCAAGAACAGAAAAAAUAAAGUUUAUUUAAUAUGUGGUUGGUGAAAGUAUAUUUACUUUUCCAAAAAUCUAUGUGAUAGAUUGCAAAAGAAGGAAAAAAAUUGGUUCAAGGUUGAUUUUUUAACAUUAUUUGUGAUCAUGUAACUACAAAUUUAUUUUAUUUAUCUAAUCCUUUUUUAAUUUUAUAUUAGAAACAAAUGCAUGCAAUAUCCAACAUUUAUUCUUACACAAGGUACAACAUGAAAAAAAAACUAUAAACAUGAAGAAAUAUAUGUUUCUUUCAGUUAUUUCAACAAUGUAAAACAUGAAGAAAAUAUAUAUAUAUAUAAUAUAUAUAUAUAUCCCCUCGGUUAUAUAAAUAAUCGAGAGGUAAAGUGGUGUCUUUUAAAAAAACAAAUAUGCAGUUGUUGGAGAUCAAAUCCACUACAAGUUCAAUGUUUUCCCCUCGGUUAUUCCAAAACCGAGGGGUAAAGUGGAAACUUUUCAUGACGCUCUUCAUUACCUUGCCUAGGUAACCGAGAUUAAAUGUAUUUCACGUAUGAGGUUAAAUGUUUAUUUUAUAGUAGUGCUUAUCCGCUCGGCCAAUCUUCGAAAUGUGUAUGAUAUACCAUAAGGGCCUAAUAUCUCAAUAUCACCUUUUUCUAAAGCUUCAAAUGAGACUUCAUAUCCAAAAAGCAAUAAUGAUCUGACUACGAAGUCAUUCAAAACUUGACCGCAGAACCAUCGUUUAUUGAAGAAGUUAUAGAGACGAUUACAAAAAGUACUUGUUUGAAAGGCUCGUUGGUAUUCAUCCACUAUGGGAUUUACAUUAUACGCAACAGAAGCACCUGAAGUACAAAACUUAAUAGGUAUAAGUUUGCUAAUGGUUGGAGCAGCAAACUUUGAUUUGGAAAGAAUCCCAUUUUUUGGUAGUACGAACGGGGAAUUGGUCCAAAAAUUGGAUAGGGGUCAAGACACAGUCGGGCGCCAAUGACUGACUCAAGUGCCCAUUGAACCACCCGAAAUUAUGCUUUUAUGGAAGUUAACUCUUAGACAUAAAGCCAUUUUGAAACCAUGGAGAAUGUCUUUUAAAGUCCAUAUGUUUUCCCUACAUGAUUGACUUAGGAUGACAGUGUCGUCAACAAAUUGUUGAAGGUUGAAGUGGAGAUUAUCUUCAAUAGAAAAAGAUUGGUACACCAAUUGGGAAACAUCAUUUUUUAUUAAACCGACGAGACCUUCUAAAACAAUGAUGAAGAGGAAUGGGGAAAGGGGGUCCUCUAGGAGGAGGUUUAUCUUUGCUUUAAAGUCCAAGGUUGGGCUUCUGUUGACGAGGACAGAUACGGAGCUUGAGCAAACACAGACUUACCAAAAUCCAGCUGCUUGAGAAUGAACAACAAAUAGUCCUAAGACACAGAAUCAAAAUCCAUCUCAAAGUCAACUUUGAAUAAGAAUAUAUAUGUCUGAAGAUGAGAUCGAGGGUAUGGGUUAAAAAGAACUUGAAGGAUAUUUUGAGUUACGUUAUCUGGGGGGAUUAGGGAGGAGAAGUGGGAAGGCUUUACAAAAGGAAAAUAUGAAGGAGGGAGAGAGUCCUCAAGGUUAGACGAGGAGUCCUUUCCAUCUUUGGACAUAUUUUUGCAGUUCCAUUUUGGCUUGGACAAUAGAAAAUGAGAUGCUUUUAUUCCAGUUUCAACUGACUGAAGACCCAUAUCGCAAGUGGGGCCCAAGGGUUUUGAACACUGAAGCUCAAAAGUAACCAGCUCAAGAUUUGGAGUUUUUCCUUGAAAAGUUGACCUAUUAUUUCCUAUUCCAUUGGGAUGCGAAAAAUGAGGAGAGUAUCUAGCUAGUCCCAAAUUAACCAUCCCCGUCAUCCUUUAACUUUUCCUCCAAAACUGUUUCUGCAGUUUGACACUUGGAAAUCCUAGGAUCAGAAUCACAAGCUUCAAAAACUACCAACUCGUGAUUUACCAUGCUUUUUAUUUUUUUUUUCCGACUCUUUUAUUCUACCCUCUAAGGAAAAAACUUCUUUAUUAAAUUAAUUCAAACCUUCUUCUUCUUUAUUCCAUUUGUCAUCUUUGCUUAAAGAUGAAUCAUAUUCAGCAAAAUCAGACAGUCCCAGAGGGCCUUGGGAAUCCUCAACUAUUUUUACUUCAAUAAUAAAAAAUUAAUCUUAAAGUCAAGAAACUCAUCUAAAAUCUUAGAUUGAUUAGUUUUUAAAAGAAGCCUAGUGACAUCAAAUUUAGUAUGAAGUCUAAUGGCAUUAUCUAAGCAAAGGUACUUCCCAAUUGAUUUAACCAAAGUUACAAAGAAUUCAGGCUUCCAGGCUUGGAAAGGGAUGCCAUAAUAGAAAAUCCAUGAAAUUCUCUCAUCACCAACGUCAGUAGGUUUCCAAGGACGAGCUUCUUUAAACCAUUGCUUGCCAUUGAUCAACAAGUCCUUCAGUUCUCCAUAAACUCUAUCUUCAAGAAGGAAAAUAUUUGCUCAUAGGGGAGUGACUAGAAUUGAGAAAUAACCAUUUACAUUGAAGAUUUCUUGCAUAUUGUAAGAAAUCCCAGGGUUUUCAAUGAAGCCUACAAAAGCCUUUCGAAAUCAUGAAAGGUAGCAAUUUUCAACGGUAAUGGUAAUGGGGGUGUAACACCCUGAAUUCAAUUGAUUUAUUUUAUUGAAUUUUCAUUACUUUUAAUUUAAUUAUUUGGGUGAUUUGAUAUACUUUUAAUUAAUUAUUUUAGCGAUAGCAUGUGUUAUGUGAUUUUUGGGGGUUUAAUAGAAUUUUUGUUAAUUUUAUUUGAUUAAAAUAAUAGAAAAGUAAUAAAAUGAGAGAAAUAGUGAUAUUGGGGCAGAAAACAGAACUAUUAGAAAAAUAAGGGAAAAUGGUGAAAGUAGAGAUUAGUGGAGAGGUAAAAGUUUGAAAAAGAGAGUUAAUUAUAUUUUUAGGUUAAAAUAAAUAGAAUAUGUGAGGGGAGUCAAAUUUGUGAGUACGUAGAAAUUAUGCAAUUGGAAAAAAGAGGCAAGUGUGAGAGAAGGAGAACAAGGGCUUGAGGGAGAAGAAGAACACCAUAAUCAAACUUGUUUAGCUACUGGAAAUUCAGGUAAGGGGAGAACUACUCUAAUAUAGGUGUCAUUGCAUGAAGGCUAGAGAGGGAUCCUCACCCUCCUCUAGGUUUUUCUCCAUUAUUGUGUUUUAUUAAUUCUUGAAUGUGAUUAAAUGUAAUCCAUAUAAUUUCCAUGUUUGAUGAGUAAAUUCGUGAUCUGAGUAUUAAUGAUUUUUAUGUAUAUUUGAUGAGCAAAAAUCUGAAUGUUAUCACUAUCAUUAUUGUGUAUUUGGUUUUUUUGAGCAUAACCUUAAAUUCAUGAUUAAUUGAUGAUUUUGGAUGAUAAUCGAUGCAUAUGUGAUCUCAAAUUGUUGUACAAUAUGUAUCUACUAUUUUUUGUUCAAUUUGGGAUGUUGGGGGUGUAAUACCCCAAAAUUUACCCUUCAUUUUUUUCUGGAAGCAUGGGAUUAUGUUUUACAUUUCAUUGGCAUCAUACUAGGUCAUACUCAUUGCAUAAUGCAUUAGUGAUAUGGAAAUCAGGUUUUGAUUGAUCACUCCUUAACAGAAGGAGCCCACACAAAGCAAGAUUGAGAAUUGGACUUCAUUUCAUAAGUAUACAAGCCUCAAGGGUCUCAAAGGGCUCCAAGUAUCUUAUUAUGGUCCUCAGUUCAUCAGUGAAGGAUUCAGAGCUAUCAGAGUGCUCAUAUGGAUUUAAUCGGAAAUUAGGGUUUCAUGGCUACCUGCAACAGGAAAUGUUUGGUUGGAAGUAGAGGAGCUUAUACAUGUCAUGAUUGAAGAGGCAUCUUGGCCUAGAAAGACUCACAAUUAUCUCAGAAAGAUCCAUUGGCAAACAAUGCAAUCAGUUCCUGAUCAAUUUUGCCCUAAACUAGGGUUUGGCAUAAAAUCAAUUUAUUUCUGAUUCUUUGGGUGAAACUCUUUUCCAUGGCCCUCCAUAUGUCCACAAGGGUCUACAUACAAAAAAAUUAGCUCUUUAUUUGAGCCAGAGGUGCUUCAAUUGAUCAUUGGAAUCGGGGAUCAGACAGUUUGGGAAAAGUCAACUAUAGGGCCAAAAAAGUCAAAUCCUGACUUUUUGAGAGUGGAAUCUCAAAAUUCAUGCCUAGGGGAGCUCACAUGUGAAAUUUGAUCAAGGUUGGAUCAUGGAUUCAUCAUUUAAUCAGGAAUUUGAAAAGUUACUUAAUUUGGAAAUGGUUGACUUUCCAUUUAUGGCAAGUUUUCAUGAAUAUUGCACUCACUUUAAGCUCAUUUUCCAUCAAGAUAAAAGCUCCAUUUGAAAAUUUCUCCAACACAAAAGUUGUUCCUAUUGUUCCAAGCUUUCUAUAGGUAUAAAGUUUGCUCCAUUUAGAUUAAAAUUGAGAAAGUUAUGCUUAGUUAAAGUGAGACAUUUUUUUAGGACACUUGGAAAAAUUUCUAAGUCCAAAAUCUUCAAAGUUUGUCAAGACUUCUUGGCCAGUUUUCUUGCACUUCAAGGCAUCAUUUGAAAAUACUUUCUUCACAACAAUUGUACCUUGCCAUGUCCUAUUUCACAUAAUUUUGGAAUCAUCUCAUUUGGAUCCAUGGUUUGAGAGAUACAUUCACCUAAAGUGGGCACCAUGACAUGACUUUCUAGGCAGAUUUUAGGCCAAACUGGCCUUGCCAGUUCUGCAUGAUGAAACCUGAACUUGAGGCCCAUUUUUCACCUUCUUCCAUUCACCAUUUCAACUUGUGCUCAACAUGAAAGUUUCUAAGCUCCAUGAUAUCUUGCUGCUGUUUGCAUUAUUUCUCCAAUUGGUGACUUGAGCAUCAAGUUACAUGGCCAUAAAGUCACCAUCUUGGACUGUUUUCUUACUUGCCAAGCCAUGCAUAAAAUCAACACACGUUUUUUCCUCAUGUGAGGCCAUAAAGUCACCAUCUUGGACUGUUUUCUUACUUGCCAAGCCAUGCAUAAAAUCAACACACGUUUUUUCCUCAUGUGGCCAUGCUUUGGAUAUUUAAUCACUUAAGUUUGGCCCAAAAUAACAAUAUUUCACACAUCACUUGGCAUUAUUUUGGAUUAUGGAUAAAUCACUUAUUAAAAAGCUCAUGAGAACACCUAAUCCACCCUAUUUAAGAGGCUGAAACCCUAACCCUAAAGAGGCAUUGGUGGAUUUUCAUGGCAAGCAAGGCAAGGUAACCAUCUUACUCUAUCUCCCAUGGCCAUGAAUUAAUUCCUAUGCUUAUUAUCAUUAAUGUUCACCAUGCUAUUCUCAUCUAUGCUCAUCAUUAUUAUCAAUACUGUUAUGUUCAUGUUUGUUCCAUCAUCAUUACCAUGCCAAUCAUGCUUGUGUUCUUGUUAUUGGUGUUGCUGAAUUUUUUCGCCCUAGCCGUGUCCAUGUUGUCCUCUUGUGGUCAACUUUUCUCCAUGAUUAAGUCAUUAUUUUUACUAAAACAAAUCACCAUGAUAAUCUACACAUUUCGUACUUGGAUUUUGGUUUUUAUUUCAUCUCAUUUGGUGCAUUAUAGUGGUAGUAUUAUUGGGUGGAAGUUGGAGAAAAUCCAACACCAUGAUAAUCUACACAUUUCGUACUUGGAUUUUGGUUUUUAUUUCAUCUCAUUUGGUGCAUUAUAGUGGUAGUAUUAUUGGGUGGAAGUUGGAGAAAAUCCACUGAUUUUCGUGGCUGCAUGAACAUGCAUGGUGCUAGGGUUUUGUUUUGUGGAGAAGAUGGACACGUGUUACUUCAUGGGCCAUUAGAUCUAAGGCGCGGGUUUUAAUCUCAAAUGUCCAUCCCUAUUUUGUCAUCUAGUCACUUAAAUUGCCUUGCCCUAUUGAUAAAUGUUGACAUGUUUCAUUUAAUUAAAAUGUUAUUUCAAGUGUCACAUGCUGACUUAAACUGAUUUGGACCAUGGGCCUAUGCAUUUCGCUUUUCACACCCCACUCUCAAGACCCACCAACAAUCCAUUUUAUUUUCUUUUUUAAUUCCAUUUAAUUUCUGUUUUGCUUUUAAUUAUUUAAAAUAUUUUCUUUGUCCAUAAAAUUACCCAAAAAUAUUUUUCACUUUUCUUAAUGUCUUACUUAAUUUUAUUUAAUUUUUAUUUUUGUAUUUAUUUAAUAUUAGUAUUUUAUUUUAAUUAUUUAUUCCAAGUGGUCCAUUUUAGCAUACAUUUUACUAUUGAUUUUAUUUUCAUGACUUAAAAUUAUUUUUAGUUUGAUUUUUAGGAUGAAGUUGCCACUGUCUCAUGGUAAACCUGACCUUUUAUGGAAUUUUAUUUCACAUUUUCAAUUUAUUUUGGAUUUAUUUUUUGACCUAGUCUUGUUGUUGACUUUUGGUUUGAUCUUUGUUUUGUUUCAAUUAAUUCAAUAACCAAUUUUCAUUAUUUUAAAAUAUUUUUGGGGGAUGAUGAUGUCCUGCACCCACCUUAUUUAGUUAAUUUUUCAUUGUUUAAUUUUCUUGAUUAAUUUACUAUUUAUUCUUGAGUUAUUUCUAACCUAGUCUUGUUGGUUGACUUUUGGUUUGACCUUUGUUUUGUUUCAAUUAAUUCAAUAACCAAUUUUCAUUAUUUUUAAAAAAAAAAUUGGAGGAUGAUGAUGUCCUGACCCCACCUUACUUAGUUUAAUUUUUCAUAAUUUUCUUGAUUAAUUUGCUAUUUAUUUGAUAAUUAUUAAGUUGACUUGAAUUUUCAGUUGACUUCUUUAUGAUCGAUGUUUGACUUAGGGAUUGCUUAUGGCAAUUGAAGGAUCUUUUGAUCCUCCCUUGUCCAUAUUGCCAUGUAUUAGAGGCCUUUUACCUUGAUUUUAUUUGGUCCUUAACUCAUUUCCUGAUUAAACUAUUCAGUGGACCUUUUGUGCAUCUUUUUAUCUGUCUGAUUCAUCUGUCGUUUGUUAUACUUGUUUCUUUCAUCCAUGCUUCUAUUUAUUUGAUUGUUUAACAUGUUCAUACUUCCCAUGCAUUGUUUAAUGCUACAUUCUUUGAUCCUUUGAUUGGAUUAUAUACCUGUUUACCUAUUCUUAUCUGAUUUGGUUGAUAAAUGUUGCCUACUUGUAUGAUGUAUGAGGCAUAUAUUCUUAUUGUUUGGUUUCCAUGAACCAUCCCCAUUCAUAACAAAUGUACCCCUCUCCCAUGAAGUGUAUAAUAUUUAUUCUUUCAUUCUUUAUUCAUCCGUUAAUACAAGAAUUAAAACGAACAUCCGAUAAUCAUUUCAAAACAAGAUCAAAAGCUCGAUCCAACAUCGAGUAAUCAUUUUCAAAACUUAAUAGAACCAGCACAUAUUCAUCCAUCCUUUUGUAAGUCGAUUGCUUCAUGCAUCGCCAUUUCUCUUGUAAGUUGAUUGCUUCAUGCAUCGCCAUCUACCUGUAAUUCGAUUGCCUCAGGCAUCGCCAUCUACCCUUACCCGUGGUUCCUCUCCUUGCUCCGCCCGUCGACUCUUGUUCCGUUUAGGUAGCACCCAUUAGGUAGAACCCUUUGUAUGAUAACAUAGGUAGAAUUCCCUUAUUCUUUGCAUGCUAACAUUAGGUAGAUGUUCCCAUUUGUAAAUCCUAACAAACCCUUUGUAUGAUAACAUAGGUAGAAUUCCCUUAUUCUUUGCAUGCUAACAUUAGGUAGAUGUUCCCAUUUGUAAAUCCUAACACAUAGGUCCAUAUUGCAUGACAACUCUAGGGCAGAGCUUCCCAACUUUUAGACCUUCCGUGUGUCUCCGAUCUUGUGGCAUGUCAGUCCGUUCUAUUGCAAAGAGGUAACUGCCUAAGACUCGAUUCAGCGAGCUGCGACACCUACUGCUAGGACGUUGAACACAUUGCCCACCUUCCUUUGACAUAGAUGGUGUCCUCCUUUGUAAGUCCAUGUUCAGAUGGCAACCCUUAACCCCUAGUUAGGCGAACUACGAUAACUCUGAUUCUCAUGUUCAGAUGAGAUACGUAGGCACGAGACGCGAUGUCUUGCCGAGUUUGACUAACGACUAACAACUAAUCCUUGCCCGCUUUCGCCCUUGUUGCGAUUCUUUUCUCUCGCCCUCGUUGCGAUCGAGACCUUCCCUUUCUCUUGCCCUAGUUGCAAUCGAGACCUUUGUUCCCGUAGUUAACUGAACUACGUUUUUCUCUAAUUCUCAUUCCAAAUGAGAUACGUAGGCAUAAUACACGAUGUCUUAUCGAUCACACUUCUCUUUAACCCAUAGGUAGCCGAGCUACGAAGACUCUGAUUCUCAUACUCAGAUGAGAUACGUAGGCAGUGGAUGCGACAUCCUUGCGAGUCAUUUGCGUUUGACCUUCUUUUAGUAAAUAGUACCUUAGAUAAUACCUACACCCUUUAGACUAGAACAACAAGAGUGGAUCCCGUAGAGUACUACGGAUGCGUAGGGGUGUCAAUACCUUCCCUUCGCAUAAUCGACUCCCGAACCCAAGAUUUGGUUACGAGACCUUGUCUUUUCCUUUCUCUUCAGGUUUUCUUCGAUCGUUUCCUUUCCCUCCUUUGGGAUAAAUAACGAACGGUGGCGACUCUUCUGUUUCUUUUCUUCGUCGGUUGUUUUUUUCCCACCAGUUGCGAUAGGGGGUCAAAAUCGGGGCUUGGAAUACUCAUUGAAAAAUUAACAAAUAUCAUGAGUUGAUAAGUUUUCAUAAUUAAAAUCUAUGGAAAAAUAGCUCCCCAAUAAAUCCAAUACUCUCAAAAUUAGCCUCUUGAAUAUUCAUAUUCAUCACUUUAUCUCCCUGUUUCAUAACUCCUCCAAAAGUUUGCAAAAAAUGCCUUUAAAUAAUAAUUUAUGUGUAUCAGCAAAAGUGCAGUAUCGCGCCACAACGGGAAUCAUCACGUCGUGAUGGGAAGCUUUGUCGUGCCACGAUGAGUUACUUCGCGCGUGCGAGAAGUCUAGAGGCUUUAAGACUUCUUUGGUUCUUUUUUCUUCAAUAGUUUUCUAUGUCCCAUAUUUUUAACUCUUAGUAGCCUUUGGUCUAUUAUUCCACACUUUUGCAUGCUUUUACUCAUUAUGCUUUCAAUUUCAUCUGAGUUCACUCGUAAAAAACACAUAAUGACAUAUGUCAUCACACAACCUAGAAUACUAAUGUAUAUUUCUCAAUAACAAUACUGGUACUCCAACCUUGAGUGUCAACUUCAGAUUUGGAAGGCUAAAAGCACUUAUUGUGUUAAAAAAUAUAGGUGUGAACAUCACUAGGUCUAUUAAUAUAUGGAUUAGUCGAGUAUGGAGUGUGAAAGCUUAGAUAUAUUUUUAAUUUAUUAGGAAUGAAUAACAACAUAUAAUCAAUAGUAACAUCAAGAAUAACAUAUUUUAGGGCCACUCACUACUACAAAAUAGACCUUCCGUAACAGUAAAUUACAAUGGUCUAACUACCAACUGUCGUAAUACCUCAUUUUUUAACACACUUUUUUUUAUAUUUGUGAAAAAACAUUGCAUUACAGUCAAAAUAAUUAAUCAUAAUUAUAUCACCACGGUUGUUAAUUUCAACCCUUAUGAAAGGAGUUAUAUUUCAUCACAGUUUUUGAAUACGAUCGUGGUGAAAUUGUUUACUCAUAUAUAAGCGAAAUAGCUCUCGCUUCUUGACAGUAUCAUUGUAUCUCUCACAACAAAAUCCUAGCACACAUUUUCUAUCUUCUUCUUCGUCAUUAGCUUUCCUAUUCUACAAUAUAGCCUCAAAUCUUGUUCUUCAUACAUAAAGGUAUUCUUCUUCUUUCUUACUCUCUCAUUUUCGUGUAUGUUAUUAUUAUAUUUCACAUGAUUUUCUUCUUGUUCGAGAGUUUAUAGGUUUUUUGUUGUUGUACGUUAUUUUGAAAAAAGGUUUCCCUUCUUGUUCAAAUUUCAGAUCAUUCUCUCAGAUUUUAGAUCCUCUAUCAACAUGAAUAGUGGGAUCAAACUUGUCCACGAGGUUGAGGUUACAAAUGGGGUUAUUGAUAUGUUGGAGUUAUGGUUGAACAAAGUCAAAUAAACUGAAGCUAUUAGGGAUCACAUUAGUGUUGUUGAGCCGUUUGGUGGAACAGACUAUAAGAAGAUUCCUUAAAAGAAUCUUCACCCUAAAAAGAUAAUAAAGGUAAAGGUUAUUGUAAAGGACCUAAUGAAUAUAGAUGUAAAUGAUUCAAAAUCAGAUGAAGACCUUGAGAACUGCACGAAUUCAAGUAGGCAUAAAGAUUGAAGAUCUUGUUAUGUUUCACGUUAUUUGUUGUUGGUUGUUGUUGUUGACAAAUCUUUUUCCAUAUUUUCUCUUAUUUGUGUAUGUUAUUGUUAUGUUGAUGUUAUUGUUAUGUAUGUUGAUGAAUUUUUGUUGGAUUAUAAUGUACUGCUAGUUUAUGUUAACAUGCUGUUUUUUUACAUGGUGUUUGUAGGAUUACAAUUGAUUUGUGUUGCUAUGAAGAAAAAAUACCAGAGAGGAUGAAGCUGAAGUGAAAGAUGCAAAAUUGUAUGAUAGACCUAGAAGGUUAUUCAUUCAAAUUUAACAUAAUUUUGCAAUCUUCUCCUUAGUUUCAUCCUCCUUUCCUUUUACAAGUUUGUUUAAUUUUCCAGGAACAGUUAGUUAUCAAGUUCUCCCAAUCUAUUUUAAUUAAUUGAUUUUUUUUUUAAAAUGUUGUUAGUGAGAUUGUUAUAUUAUAUGUGAUUGCUUUUUUCACUAACCCCUCAUUAAACUUGCAUUCAUUUAAAUAAAAUUUUGAGAUGAUAAUUAUAAAAACUAAAUUAUUCUUGAAAAACAACUUAGAUGGUUCAAUGUUUUUCAAAUUGCAUGCAUCUUGCAAUUCAUGAUUUCCUCUUUAGCCCAUGAAAUUUGAUUCAAUGCCACAAACUCUUCAAAACAAUAUUGAUAAAUGAAUGUUAAUCUGAGUCUUUCACAUAAAAUUUUAUAUUUGCAAAAUAUACUAGAAAAAAAAAGAGGAAAUCAAAUUUUGUGUAAAAGACUUAGAAGAUAUUCAUUCAUCAUCAUUACUUUGAAGAAUUUAGGAUUGAAUACAAUUAUAUGGGUUAAUGAGGAAAUCAUGAAUUGUAAGAUGUAUGCAAUUUGAAAAACUUUUGAUUGUUUAAAUUGUUUUUCAAGAAUAAUUUACUUUUUCUGAUUAUUAUCUCAAAAAUCUAUUUGAAUGGUUGUAUAUGCUUAAUUAGGGGCAGGGAAAAACAAACAAUACCAUAUUUUAUAAUAAACUCUUACACAUACCAUCACAGUUGAAACAAAUAAUUAUGGUGAAAUGUUAAAAUGUAAGAAUAACAUUGUUUGGAUUUAAACCAAGGACUAUAAAUUAUUUCACAACGGUUGUCUUUUUUACCUGUUGUUAAAAGUAGUUUGCUACCUAACUUAUAACCACUAUUAUUCCUCUGUUGUGGAAACCAACAUACAUACAAUCAAUCACACGCUACUUAACAACGGAUCUGAAACCAUUAUUAUAUAUGUUUCGCAACCAUCAUUAUAUGUGUUUCACAACCAACAUAGAAGAAUGGAUAAAUGUUAUGAAUGAUAGAAGAAAUUGUAUCGCCUAACUUUUUAAUAAGUAAGUAUUCUAGAAUAUUAUAUGUAAUAUUAUCAUUGAUUUCUUCUACAAUAGUUUCAUCACCGAUUUCUAACACCCAAUCAAAAAACAUAUUUCUUUGUCUAACAUCAACAUCUUUGUUCCCCGUAAGUAUCAUCAUAUUUAUAUGUAAUUUUAUGACCUUACAAUAAUUUCAAAUAUAUAAAGAAUUAAUAGUAACAUGAACUCCGUCUUUGCUUGUUGCUUUAGGAAAAACCGGUAGAAUUCAUCUAAUGUCUCCUCCAAAAGCAACAAUCUUUCCUUAUAUCAACAACUUCAAAAUAAUGUUUAUUCAUCAUUGGUGCUUCAUCCUAAAUAAUAAAUUUUUUUCUAUUUAUUAUGCUAAAUGACUCUUUUGACCAAUAGCGCAAGUGGAAUACUCAUCUUUAUCUAUUCUUACUUGAAAAAUAAACAAAGCAACAAUUUCACUUGAUACCACUGUUAACAUGAUAUAUCAUUUUGAUCUUAAUGUUGCUGACAUAUCCCUCCAAUUGUAUGUUAUUCUAGUAACAUGAUACCCAUAUAGAAAAAUAUUCAAUUUUUUUUCAUCAACUCGUUUCAUGAUUUUGUCAUUUAUUAUUAUUAUUCAUGGUUCGACAAUCAUAGUUAAUAUCAACUAAGUAUAUUCUACGAUCAAAAGUUCCUAUCAUUAAUUAAUAAUAUAUGAUAUAUAGAUUAAAUAUAUAAUAUAUAUAUUAUAUAUAUAUAUAUAUAUAUAUAUAUAUAUAUAUAUAUAUAUAUAUAUAUAUAUAUAUAUAUAUAUAUAUAUAUAUAUAUAUAUCGAUAAUAUUAUUUUAAAUUUACUGGUUAAUGAAAACUAUAAGGGUAAAAUACGUAUUUAAUAAUCUAUAUUUUUGCAUUUAAUGCAAUAAUAAAAUUGAUUAAUUACAAAUUUUAUAUUUAUUUUAUAAAAAUAAUUUUAAAAAUAAUUUUUUUUAUAAAUAUUAUUUUUUAAUUAUAAGAAAAAUAAAAAAAUACUGUUUAUCACAUAAAUACGAUAAAUAGUAUUCGAUAUAAAUAUUUAAUAUAGAGAUUAAUGUAAGAAUAACAUUAUUCAUCUUAAUUUCACCGUCACAUAUUUUAUCAACACUAGUAUAAAAAUUUGUAGGAUUAUAUUUUAAUAUGAUUGUUUUUUUUAUUCAACUAUCUCUUUAUUUAUUGAUGCUGAAUAUGGAUUUAGUCUAAAGAUGGAUAUGGAUUUCUGCACAAUAUGUGCAACAUAAACAAUGAUAAACUAAGAUCAAACUACUUCUCAGUUUCACCUCAUUACCUCCUAAUAACUCACAUCACGUCAUGCUAAUAAAUUCCAAACCCUACAGUUAAUUAUUUUCCACAAACAUAUUUCUUCCUAACACAUCCAAAAACCCAACUAACCACACAGAAUCAAAUUAAUACACUUUAACAAUAAAAGAGAAAGGACAAAAAAAAACAUCACAUCAUUUAGCCUAUAGUAAAUUAAACGCGUCAUUUGUCUUUAGUCUUGGAAAGGAUAUUUGUAUCUGUCACACUUAAAACACACAACAACCUAAAAACCUAAGAACCUAAAAAUAACCAAAUUUUUAGAAACGUUUGGAAUCCCAAGAAUGUUAUUAUUUAAGGUAAAUAAAAAUAAAAACAGUGAUAGCCACCUUAUAAAAUGUAGUAAUAUAGUGACAUUGACCGUUCCUCCAUAAUAUACGGCGACGUCAUAGCCUGUGAUGUUAUUUGAGAAUUCUAAGUUGAUGAAAUAUCGUAUUUGACUUGUUUUAUGUUGUUUACAAUGUAGAUAGAAUACUAGUUGUAGAUAGAUUCAUUGGUGUAUACGAGGGGAAUUCAGGUAAACUUUCACGAUAUGGUUUCUGUUUUUGGGAUGUACUUAUAUUUGUUUGCUUGUAUCUAUCUGUGUUCACAUGGUAACAGGAAAUUGAUUGGUAGUAUAGAGAGUGUGGAUGGGGAGGAGGCUUGGUUUAUUCUGGUUGCGAGGAAGCAUCUAACUUUAUGCAUGGUAUUAAAUGUUGGAUAUCGAAGUGGUAAAGUAAACUACUAUUACACAACUAAAUUAUUAAAUAUAUUAAUAAGAUUCAGUUAUUAUCAUUGAGAAAUUUUUUAGUACAAUAAAAUUUGUUAGUCAUUUUUUAAGGUCAAAUUAAAUAUGAAUUUUUUGAAAUAUAUAUAUAUAUAUAUAUUAUAUUACUAUAUAUAUUAUAGUAAUAUAUAUAUAAUUAUAUCUAUAUAUAUAUUAUAUAUAAUAUAUUCAUAUAUAUGUAUAUAUAUAUAUAAGUCAAUCUACCACAAAAUAUAUCGAAAAUGAUAAAAAAAGAAUUCAAAAUUACAAACUAAAAUUUUAAAGAAAAAAAUUAGCAAAAAGCGAUCUAUAUAAUUGGUGAUUUAAGAUAAAGAAUUUAACCUUCAUAACUGGUGAGCAUAAUCGAAAUAAAUAAUUCUCGACUUUAACCAUAAAAAAGACUGAAACUUUAACGUUUCAGCUAACACCUGUAACGAAA